AAUUCAGCAGAUUGGCGCCAACUUGUAUGAAAUUUUGGGAAAAAUAUGUACGGUAAUUUUUAAUGAAAUAAGUUGAAUAAUGAAUCUGAUGAUGAUUUGCAGAACUGCAUCACACUAACAAAGGAGAAUGUCAAAGGCAUAAUCAUGUGCAUUUAUGAUUGGAGGUAGGAAACUAAUAACCAAUGCACAUUGUGUGGAACAUGAUACACAGGUUAAAGUUAAGAGAAGAGGGGAUGAUACAAAAUACGUGGCUAAGGUGUGUCUCUAUGAAGGUCUUGUCCUUUUUUCAUUAAAA